UACGAAGGGUGCAAGCGUUACUCGGAAUUACUGGGCGUAAAGCGUGCGUAGGUGGUGAGUUAAGUCUGUCGUGAAAGCCCGGGGCUCAACCCCGGGAGGCGGGCGGAUACUGCCGGGCUAGAGUCCGGAAGAGGCGAGUGGAAUUCCUGGUGUAGCGGUGAAAUGACGCAGAUAUCAGGAGGAACACCGGUGGCGAAGGCGGGUCUCUGGGCCGAUACUGACGCUGAGGCGCGAAAGCGUGGGGAGCAAACAGG
rnacentral:rRNA from 1 species